rnacentral:rRNA from 1 species
UACGUAGGGUGCAGGCGUUAAUCGGAAUUACUGGGCGUAAAGCGUGCGCAGGCGGUUUGCUAAGACAGGUGUGAAAUCCCCGGGCUUAACCUGGGAACUGCGCUUGUAACUGGCAAGCUUGAGUGUGGCAGAGGGGGGUGGAAUUCCACGUGUAGCAGUGAAAUGCGUAGAGAUGUGGAGGAACACCGAUGGCGGAAGGCAGCCCCCUGGGCUAACACUGACGCCUC